GUCCACGCCCUAAACGAUGAAUACUCGAUGUGUGCUCCUUGAGGGUACGCGUCCAAGCGAAAGCGUUAAGUAUUCCACCUGGGAAGUACGGCCGCAAGGUUAAAACUCAAAGGAAUUGACGGGGCCCGCACAAGCGGAGGAGCAUGUGGUUUAAUUCGAUGGUACGCGAGGAACCUUACCUGGGCUAGAAUGCGCGUGACGUUCCGUGAAAGCGGAAUUCCCCGCAAGGGGCACAAAGCAAGGUGCUGCAUGGCUGUCGU
rnacentral:rRNA from 1 species